GGGAGCGACUUGGCUUCGACAGGAGCAGAGUGGCUACGGUGGCAUGUCGCUUUGAGCAAAGCGUAAAAAGCUCAAACUAAAUUUAAACGCAAAUAACGUUAAAUUCGCUCCUGCUUACGCUAAAGCUGCGUAAGUUCAGUUGAGCCUCGCCAUUUUGAUACUAUCUAAGAAAGUCUGCGAGUAACCCCAGAUAGAGUAGGCGUGCGUCCUGACGAGGCGUGAGCUGAAAUUUCGUCUUAGUUUAGCCGUUCGUUUUGGAAAGUGAGCGUGGCUAGAUGAAAUUUUCACUUUUGCUAAACAUGUAGAGGCUGUGGUUGUUUUGUUUUUGGACAGGGGUUCGAUCCCCCUCGCUUCCACCA
rfam:Campylobacter curvus 525.92, complete genome.